GACGAACGCUGGCGGCGUGCUUAACACAUGCAAGUCGAACGGAAAGGCCCUGCUUUUGUGUGGUGCUCGAGUGGCGAACGGGUGAGUAACACGUGAGUAACCUGCCCUUGACUUUGGGAUAACUUCUGGAAACUGGGGCUAAUACCGGAUAGGAGCUCCUGCUGCAUGGUGGGGGUUGGAAAGUUUCGGCGGUUGGGGAUGGACUCGCGGCUUAUCAGCUUGUUGGUGGGGUAGUGGCUUACCAAGGCUUUGACGGGUAGCCGGCCUGAGAGGGUGACCGGGGUCAUUGGGCCUGAGAUACGGCCCAGACGCCUACGGGAGGCAGCAGUGGGGAAUAUUGCGCAAUGGGCGGAAGCCUAAUGCAGCAACGCCGCGUGCGGGAUGACGGCCUUCGGGUUGUAAACCGCUUUCGCCUGUGACGAAGAGUGAGUGACGGUAAUGGGUAAAGAAGCACCGGCUAACUACGUG
rnacentral:rRNA from 1 species